GCCGCAGUGGCGAAAUCGGCAGACGCUGUGGACUUAAAAUCCACUUCCCUCGCGGGAGUGCGGGUUCGAGCCCCGCCUGCGGCACCA
rnacentral:tRNA from 1 species